GUUCUCAAUUUAGCAGUACAUAUAUAUUAAAGUUAGAAAGCUAUAAAGAAAAUUAACAUGGUCACUGCACAAGGAUGAUAGGAAAGGUAUUCAAUUUAU
rnacentral:snRNA from 1 species